rnacentral:lncRNA from 1 species
AUGAGACCGUCCUUUUCAGUUUCACCCCGAUCUGUGACAAUCUCGCACAAACAUCUGUCGCCUCCUCUGGGCUCCGCUCCGCCCUUUUACCGCAAACCCAAGCGUGUCUCCCUGAGGCUUAGGAGGUACCAGGAUUCACCCGAGUCUUCUGAGGGUGGCACUUGGGUUAGGGAACAAUUUACUCAUGACGAAGACAGAGAUCAGAGGAUGAGAUCAUGGGUCAGAGGCGUAAAGUGACUUGUUCAAAGUCACCCAGCAGUGUGACUCCAGUGCCUGAGUGGGAGUGGGUCAUCAUGAUGAUUCAGCCUCUCCAAGGGAACCAAUCUUUCCAAACCGUCUGGUGGAGAACAGAUGGCACAGCACCCAGGAGUCCCCGAGCUGCCCAGCCUCAAAGAUGCUCCAUGUAUGUACAUGGGUGGGAGGCCUUGAGGUGCCAGAGCAGUGGGGUGUGUGACCUUGGAUAAGUCAUGUCUAUCUCUUUGGGUGGUUGGGUUUGAAGCUCUGUAAACCCUCUUCCCAGUCUUGUCACAGAGAGGCUCUCAGAGUCUGUGGUAGCAAAUAUCCCUUUAGGUUGCGGCUCCUGUUUGCAAAGCAUGUUACAGAUGCCUUAAUUAAUUAUUCAGGCUGACAUCUCCACCUCCAAAAUCAGAGGGUUGAGAAAAGAUCAUAGGAAUACAAUGAAUGUGAACUUGGCUGAUAAUGGCUGGUCCCAGGGUGGUGAGAAGAGAAGAAAACCCUCCAAAUUGGUCUUCCCUUACACUUUGGCCCCGCUUCCGCCAACGGCCAAGAUAAAACUGUCCUCCUUCAAUAAUUAAUGAGCAGGAUCCUGCGCUCCUGGCCUGGAUCCCCCGAAGGAGACCCCUUG